UCUUUUUGCACAGAUAAAAAAUCAUAGAGAAAUGAGCUUUCAAAUUCGAGUUAUUUUGAUGGUGGGCAUAUUGAUAUGCCUUACCUCUAUUGCAAUUGCUGAAUCAGGAACUGCUACUUUCUACACCCCACCUUAUGUUCGUAAGUAUUUAGAUAUUCCCUCCAUCCCAUAAAGAUGGGCUUGCUUUCGUUUUUUGUUUGUCCCAACUAAUACCUCACUUUCCUUAUUGGGAAAUAUGUCUUGUUAUAAAAAACUAUAAGAUACUCAUAUUUAAACAAUUAUUUAAUGUAGGGUAUAUUAGAAAACAUAAGAAAAAUUAUAUUUUCAGUUAUAUAAUUAUAUUAUCGUAAUGAAAACAAGUCAAUUUUUAUGGGAAGGAAGGAGUAUUAUGUUUGCAAAUGUUAAUUAUAUACUAUUAUAUAUCAAAUAUUCAAUUAAAGCUUAAAAGCUAAUAAAUUAGUUAAUUAAUACAACUAUAUGCAGCAUCGGCAUGCUAUGGCUUCCAAGAAAAAGGCACCGUGAUAGCUGCUGCCAACCCUUCAUUGUACAAUAAUGGAGCAGUUUGUGGAAGAAGGUACAGGGUUAAGUGCACUGGAGGCACCAACAGCGUACCAAACCCCUGCAAAGGGCAGGAAGUAACUGUAACAAUUGUAGAUCGUUGCGCAGGAUGUGGAAAUAAUCAGCUUGAUCUCUCUCAGGAAGUCUUUUCCACCAUUGCUAAUCCUGAUGCAGGAAGAAUCUUGAUCGAAUAUACUCAGUAAGCAAUUCUAGAUUAUUGAUCAAUUCUUCCUUGCUAGUAGCACUCACAUUUGAUUUCUUGUUUUCAUUGUGAUUUUCAGGGUUUGAGACAAUUCGAUGUGGGAAAUGAAGGAAUUUGCGAUUCCGAAUAAGCUAGUUACUGUACUUUAUGUACCCACAAAAUAAUAAAAAUCCUAUGUACUAGUUGAAUAAGUGAAUAAUAGGCAUUGGCUAGAAAUGUAUUUGAGAAUUGUGUAAUGCUAGCUGGAGGAUCGAUGCCACGUAUGUAAGUGUGUGACUGUAAUAAUGUUCUGUUGUAAUUUCUUUAUGCAAAUGAAACUUCAAGUUUCCGUCGUAGGAAUUAUUUAUUUAUUUAUUUAUUUUAUUAACAUCAAAUUUGGAG
rnacentral:lncRNA from 1 species